AUGCCAUCAGGUCGCCCGUGCAUGACGAGCCGCUCUGAUUGGCUGUCAUCCUCUCGGAACGGACGCGACGCGCUGAUUGGACAGCACCUCUCCUCCGGCCGGCCGCAGCCUCCUCCCCCCCCCCCUUCCCCCGCCCCCUCUCCGCCCCGCCCCCCUCAAGCGGAGAAGGUGCGUGCGGAGCGGACGGCGUUCGGCGGCGAAAAGGAGGCGCUCUACCGGCGGGACACGGAGGACGACACCGAGUGUUCUGUGCGGCGUUCCUAUGAGGCGCCGUAGCGGCACCAACGUGCUCUGGCUUUGUCGAAGCCCCACGUGACCUGGUUUGUCUGGCGGAGAUUCAAUCGGAGGAGACACACCGGGGAGCAGCGGAGUGACGGGCGACCUUGGAUUCCACACGCGGCGCCGCCCCGGUAAACACACCUCGCCCGUCCUCCGGCUCGGAGGCGUCUGUCGAGUCGUUGCGAUUGAAACACCUAAAUCUCUACGUCUGCCGUCCGCCACCGUGGACUUUGUCUGCAACGUCGAGAGCCACUGACGCGGAGUCUUAAGGACGCCUGCCAGCUGGAAAGUUAAUUAUCUCGUUCUUCCCUGCGGGCAUCUGGAGAUCUGACGCAAUGUGUGUAAAGCUUUCAGACCACACAAAGAACAACCCCCCCGGUUAGCCGCACUGAUCAUCAAUCAGGGUUGUCGGUGUCAAUAGGACUUCAUAGACGAAUGCGUGCGCGAGUGGAUCCUCGAGCAGAGAACAGUAAUCCUGUGUUUCCUGCCACGUCUCCAGAGCCAUAAUUACAGAUUUCGCUGCUUUGUUUUUUUCUCUGGGAUGGUUCACAGCCCUGAACCACGUCAGCGUGAGCACAGACGGGCAGCUCGCUGGGAAAGGUCACAGGGUCCCUGCGGUACUGUCGGAUUUGUAGAUUCAGCUCAAGCUUUUAUCUUUCAAGGAAUGGUUUGACCUCGACAACUGUGAAUUAUGACAUUUAAAACUCUAUGCUGUUUGAGUCGGCUUCGUGGUGCUGGUGACAUUCGAUCCAAUCUCAUCCUGUACAAUUAUUAUAAUAAAUAACAAUUUGCCAUUUAUGAAUAUAUUUGUGUAAGUUAAUUGUUAAAUUCCGUUUUAUCCCCUCCUAUUUGUAAUCCCUACCAUUGUAAAGGCUUUCCAGGUAAGCUUCCUUUAACAUUAAGGUUCAUAAACAAACAUAAUAACAUAAACCCGGCUACGUUGUUGUCAUUCAGCAGCGUGCGGCACAAAAGCACCAAUAGAAAGCCAAAUGUGCGCUGAAAUGAAACGCUGAAAUUCAAUCCAUUAAAAUAUAUGAAACACCAGCUAUAAGAAAUGAAAGCGACGAUUAAAGCUGAGAAACGAAGGCUGUAACAUAUUUAGCUCCCUAACUCGCUUUUAGAAGAGCAGAGGGAGCCGUUCCCUCCACCCAAGGUGAUCACGUCAAAUGAAACGGGGGGGAAGCGGCUUUGGCGACCUGCCUGGAAGCGGAAAUAAGAGAACAUCAAGGUGGUUUUAGGCGUCACAAUAAGGCUCCCAUCAUCUGUGGACAUCGAUACCCGAUGAGACGCAAACUUCCCCCUGAAAGCUUCCAAAUCUGCAACCGAGCCACAACUUGAUGGUCAUCACUUUCCGGAGCGCCAAAACAAUAACGAUCACACGCUGGAAACGAUGACGCGGGGGGGAAGAAAGAAAUCUUUACUCCGACGGUGAUUUCCACCGCAGACAAACAGACAUAUUCAGGGAGCGACAGAUAAGCUCAUUGCUGUUAGAAAAUUAUUUCCUCCAGCAGAGAAACGCUGCUGCCAAAAGGGGGGGUGGUGGUGGGGGGAGAGAGAGAGAUAAAGUGUAACGGCUAUUGGCAGCAGAAACAAAAGGUGCAUUUGCGCUCUCCUUCAUUAUUCCCUGUCGUUGAAUAAUUAACAGCUUUUGUUAUUUCUCGCCCUCUGACUGUAAUGAUGGCAAUAACUCAAAUUAUGCUGAUUAGUGCGUUGGGGGGGGGGGGGGGGGUUGGGGGGGGGGGGGGGCUAUUUUUGUCACCACUUUUUUUCUUCCUAGCAUCAGAAUAAAACUUUAUUACAGUUCCAGCGGUGUUGUGAGACGCACGAGUGGGCGGGGGGGUAAAAGUGUGAAUUAGCUUUAUUAAUCAUUUUUCCAGAGGCUGCCGCGGCUCUGUCGCCCUGUCGAGUAUUUCUCUUUAGGUUUUGCCAAUUUGCGAAGUGAUUGCACAUCAGCCGGCUCCCCCGAGUGUCUGCUCGCUCACCGUGAACCCUUAUUCUGUGAGGCUGUGUGUUGGAUCGUGAGUGGCUUGUCAAUGGGGGGGGGGGUUAGACAGCCUGAUGCGCCUAAACUCAGAUUGCGCGUAAACUGACUCCACGGCCCCGAGACCUGCCACUCACCUCCGAAGGGGGGCAGGAAGUUCUUCCCAAUUACCCAGCGCGCGCACUGCUGCCCCCCACACCUCCCCCAUUUCCGGCCUGUUAGCUGGAGCGGUGACGGGUCUCAAUCCUGACCUUGACGUGGUGCUCCCCCCCCCCCUCUCAAGCUUGAUAGCAGCGAUAUAUUCACACCUCUACGCUUCGCCUUUCUCCGUCUGUGGCUUCAGGCUCGGCCAGAAGGGGGGGAAAUAACAUUUUGAAAAUGUUAAAAAAUCAGCAAUCAAUUGUAGCCUUCAAACACAAUGAAGGACAAGGAAUGUCAGUCAGCCUCUCUCCGUGUGUUACUUACUGUGUUACUGUAGUAACGGUGUCACUCCGACGUCCUGCAGCACUCUGCUAGCACGACUACCAAAGCUGUGAGCGUGUGGACAUUAAACACAAAUGGCUUCUUUUCUUUUGGGACGCAUUAAUUGGACUUGUGUUAUCCAAGUUUGGCGCAGGCCUGAAGGGAAAAUGAGAGAACGCUGCGUGUGUGCGUUUGUGUGCAUCGUCUGCCUCCGAGGCUUAUUAAUCAAGUGAAAAACUCAAUUCAAUAUGAGAGAAUUUUCAUUUGACCUUUUCGAUGCGAUGUGAGCCUCCGAUGAUAAGUCCUCAUAAAGGAGCACGCUCUCCCUCCGCCCUCCUCCGCCCGUUUUGUUGCCGUAGUUAAGACGGAGCGGCCUCGCAGGCAUACUGAUGAGCCCCUUUGGCACUUAAAACCUCGCUCACUGCUCUUCUUUGAGAUGAGAUGAGUGCCGAGUCAUCGUUCCAUUUCAAUGCUUUUUUCUUGGGGGGCCUCGGGAAAAAAAUAUUGUGCUCUUUGUGGUUGACGGUUAUCAUCGUUUAUCAUCUAAUCAGUUUCUGAUGUCCAGACGCCUCAUAUGAGUUGCUCUGACCCGCCUCUGCGUUGCUAUUUUUGUCUCACAGACGCGGUAUGAAGACACGGCGGCCAUAUUGCCUGGGACGAGAGCCAGCUGUCUCAGGUACGCUACGCUGACCUCAGCAGUCCGUCCGCUAGUCAAAUCGCUGCUCAGUCAGGGAUGUAAGCCCAUUUUCUGGGGGGGGGGGGGGUUUAAAUAGAGACACGGAGGAGACCGGGAGCCGAAAACGCGUCUUUGAGGUCGGCA
ensembl:lncRNA